AUAUAGCUUAAUAGCCCUUUUCCC
rnacentral:siRNA from 1 species